AGGAUGUCGCUUAAACACAGAAAGCAGCUCUUCGCAGUGGUCAUCCUCUUCUGAACUUGGCCCACGCAGCCUGGCCCUGAGCAGACAGACGCUCCCUAAAAUGCUCGUGGAAUAAACAAAACUGUACCGCCAGUGUGCAGCUUGGCCAGACCUACCCAGGCUAUUUUGUGGUCUCCGCCGAAUUCCUCACUGAAGACUACACAUUCCAUCCCGCCUGAGCUUGCCACAGACCUAUUUCCAUGCCUGCUGCACUCCAGCAGAUGAGCGAGAUCACCGUGACGGCAGAAGAGCCACAGGGGGAACCAUCCCCCUGGGUCCCCUUUGGUCUCGAGAACUUCCUUGUUAUACCUGGCUGUGUCCAGCCUUGAUUAGGGACAGCUGCACUGUCAUGACCCUGCUGUAGGGCACUGAGGACAGCUCUCUCCAGGUCCCAACCAGCAUUGGGCAACUGUUUUUCUGCGUUGUUCUCAGGUCUAAUCUGACAGUGGCUGUGGUGUCCUUGUUACUGUUUAUGUAUCUGACUGCUGCUCCCCUGACCUCUUUAAGGGAGUAUCAGGAUUAUCUGUGAACCCUCAUUGUGUUGCUGUUUGCCAGCAUUCCUGAGCACUUCCUGGUUGGCUGGUGUUGAGUAAGUGUAUCCCCAGCAGUUUAUCAAGCACACAGCAGGCCUUGACUAUGCCUGCUGACUCUACGCUCCUGGCAGCCCAGCACCUCAGAGUUGGGCUCACACACACGUCCUCUCUCUGCUAGUGACCGGGCCAGGACUGAGCAGACCAGGCUUCUCCGGGGCAGCUGCAGCUCCACCCCUGUUCCCCACUGCCUGGCUUCCUGCUUGUAGCACAUCUUGCUCUCUAGCUCAGAAGCAGUGUUAGUUGGUGAAGCGAGUGAUUCCUUUUAGGCCUAACUCACAUAAACCGAUUGCUCUGCAGUCCACAGGUAUCUAGAUACAGAGCUACAUUGCGUAGAACUGUCACAAAUGAUUUAAACUCAUUAAUAGUCAGUUUAUAAGAUUCUUUUUUUUUUUUCUUUUUUCUGGUGGUACGGAGGAUCGAACUCACGACCACCUGCUUGCAAGACAGGUGCAGAUGCCACUGAGCUAACUCCCCAGCCCCUAGUUUAUAAGAUUCUUUCCUGAUCGUAACUCCCGUACCCAAGAAGUGGGUAUGGGAGAAGAACUGUUGAAAGAGGAGCUGAAGUUAUGGACAGCUUCAUCUUGGACUUGCAGCCACGCAGUCUAUUUGACAAACGAGUUUAGUAACAUGCAGCAGAGACACCAACUAACUGCCUGUGACCUCCUUCCUCCUUGUUCCACCAUCUCCAGGUGACACCCCCACCAGUGGGGUCCAAGACAAUUCAUCAGCAUUACAGCCCUCGGAAAGAAAGGAGACCAGGCAUCAUUUGCCAAAUGUACCCAUCUGCUCAUGCACCAUUGGUCAGAACCUGGUCACAUUGAGCUGCAAAGGCUGCUGGGUAGGGAGUCUUUUUGUGAGCAGCUCUAUGACUAGCCAGAAAUCAGCAGGCUCCACUAGAAUAGAAGACAACAGAGAUGAGAUUGAUUUCAGGCAGCCUCUGCCUCAUGUGUGAUGUCUUGGCUGGAAGGAUUUUUAAUGAACAGAUUUUAAAUAUUGGUAGGCUUACAAAAAAAAUACAUAAAAUAUCCCAUUUACAUGUUCCUGCUACCCUUUGCUUUCCUGUGGAAUCUAAGUUGUUAAAAUAAAGCAAACCUCACGGCUGUACUCACACAGCACCUCACUCCUGCUGGGAAACAGUGCUUCCCAGGAGCUGUCUGGGUGUUGGGACAGGAGAGGAGUCUGAACCUUCACUCAUCCACACCCUAAGACUCUAAAGCUAUAGGUAGAGCAUGAGCAACCCAGAGCUUUAUUUUCAAUGAAUCAUGAAAGUUCAAAGUGAACAAAUAUCAGUCCCUUUUGUGCUUCAAACAGUAAGUAAGACUGCCCUCUCCUCCAUGUUCUGAUUCCUAAACAGCCCUUCCCCCCACAUACCCACACUCCCCAUUCUAGAGUGGAAAGUUAUUCAUUUUCCCAUCAACAACCAUUGGGAUUGGGAAAGGAGUUACUUUAGGGGUGUUGAGGAGCUUAUGAAGGCUGAGAGGGCCCAGGAACAGACACUGUCAUGUUAAAAACCCACCUCUCUCCUUGCCUCCCUCCCUCCCUUCCUGCCUUUCCCUGUGUACAGCCUGGCACAUGCAAAAAGCCACAAUACACCCGGCCAUACCUCCCACAUUUUUAAUAAAUGCUGCAAAUCUCCCCCAAGUUUAAUUCAAGUCAGAGUGUGUGUUUCCUACCAACCUUGAGGGGGAUCCUAGAUACAUGCAAAGGCAGACCACAGAUCUUGCUAAAAGUGUCUACACUGCAGAUUUUCUUUCUUCAAAGGCUUGUUACUUGAGUUCUCUAACCUACUGCAGGACACUUCAUACCUCUGUGGAACUCAAACCUAAAAGGGUCAUUUGAUAUAACAACAGCCACUAAACACUGAAAAGCCCUUCCCAGAAAAUAUGUAGAUCCACUAAGCACACAGGUCAGCAGCUAUGAACACCCAGUCUUUUCACCCCACAGCCUCAUGCUUGUCCCUGUUGGCAGCUGCUGCCUUUUAGGAGCAGAAUGCCUUGAGCAACCCAGGCUCAGAUGAUCACAGUGUUGGUUCAUUUUCUGUUGCUGUAACAAAAUACCAGGGGAUGGAUACUUUGUAAAGAAAUGAAACUUUGCUCAAAGUUUCAGAGGCUGAAGCUCCACAAUCAGGCAGCCCCACCUAUUUUGACCUGGUUAGGGCCUCAUGAUGAAUGCUAUCACAAUGGCAGGACCAUCUGCAAAGGAGAUGCUUGCUGGGUAGGCAAGACAGGAGGCCAGAGAGCAGGGUGGGGCCAGUGUUGCUCUGUCUAUAAGAACUCACUACCAAGAAAAGUUGUUCCAGGAGACCAGCUUACUCCUACUAGGGGCAGCAUCCAAAUGACCUAAACACCUCCCACUAGGCCCCGCCCCUUAGAGGUCCCUCCACCUCUUCACAUUGUCACCCUGGAGGCCAAACUUCCAACACAUGAACCUUUGGGGGACAGACCACACCCAACCAUAGCAAUCACCCUGGCUCCAAACGCAGGCCACUCAGCAGGAAGGGGUGGGAGAGUGGGGAACUCGGAAGCAGUGUCUUGUGCAGGCUGCCGCCAUAGCUUCCACAACUGGGACACUGUGGCUUUCCCAGGAGCACCUGUGCACACACACAUGUGACUGAGCAGUGUCUCACAGGCUGCAGCCUGGAUAAAACAGACCUUUGGUGAUGUCCAGGGAGACAGUGGCAACCCGGCUUCUGGUGACUCAGACACAAGGGAGUAGUAGAUAAGAGCACAAGUGAGCAAUGAGUUAUGCAAGGUCUUGCUAGUGCUUCUUCAAAGUGGGCUUUUGAGCAAAUUAGGCUCGGCCAGCCUCAGUCUCCUCAUCUGGAAAACAGGAGUUGUAUAUCUACCUCACAGGGGAGUACAGCAUGCCCACACAGAGACUGACACAGGAAACCCUCAGCAGACACAAACCCUCAGGUGCUGCACUGUGCUCCGCCUGCCAGGCUUUGUCCGUGGCCACCCCACCUCCCUAGGCCUGAGGCGUUUGCUGCAUGAAUGAGGUGUGCAGAGAAAUGAAGCCUGCCUUCCGGCAUCGGCCACUGAAAGUAACCUUCAGUAAUCUCAGGGAAGACAGCAACACACCAGGCUUUGCCCCUGGAGCUCUGAGGAGAAAGUGACAAGGACACCAUCAUCCCAUUGCCUUCUGGGAGCACAGUGCAGUUCCAUGUGUGCCUAACAAAAGCUUUCAAAAUGGCCAAUUCUUCACUUGCACUUCUAGGAAUUUCCAGUUCUGAAAUAAUCAGAGAUGUGUGCAAACACACCCACACAAAAUUGUGAAAAACAGCAUUGUUAAUCAGAGUGAGAAAGCAGUCAGAGAGUAAGUCCAUAGAAAAGGUGCCAGCACCACAGCCAGGCCGAAAAUCCAGCACUAAUGCUCCCUAGCUGUGCGAUCCACUAAGCACUUCACAUCCCUGUGCCCCUGUAAGGAGGGAGGCUUAGAAAGUCCCCAGUGUGCAAGCAACAUGUUAGAUCUUCAGUACAGAGAAGCUACAAUGGCUGAUUUCCUACGAUCAGAUUUUGUGGGGCAGGAGGUUGAUGAUGCAAGGUGUUUUCACAGCUGCGUUAACUUCACUUAAACCACACACAGUGGACUCUGCAUAUCUGAAGAUUCUGUAUCCAUGCAGUCAACCAAUUGCAGGUCUGGUAUUAUUUGAAAAAAAAAAGUUAUAUCUGUGUGUAGGGAGCCCUUGAAGAUGGAAAUUGAUCACAUGUGUGGGGCUAAAGCAAGGCCAGCCCUGAAAGCACUAAGUGCCCAAAACAAGCCUGGCUGGAAAGAGAAUAAUAACCCUGUUCGGACUGCUGAGGAGAUGAGCAGGCAUAGAACACACAAGGUGUUCCUGCUGGGUCCACUUGGGUGUAGGUACCUGGCGAGAGACCUGGCUGUCACAGGCUCUGGAACCCUCAUUCCAGCAGGCAGCGUAGCCUUGGCGCCCCCUCAUCUCCUAGCAAGCCAGUGAACUUCCAGACUCAGCAAGCCCCACUGGCUCAGCACUUGUUGGAGACUUGGCUUCUGGUUCUUCCUGUUUUCUUCCAGAAGCUUCCCAUGUGUCUCUAUGUGAGGGAGGGCCUUUAACUUCCCCUCAAAGAUGUAAUCCUUUCUCUUGCAGAUGCUCUGGGCAGAGCUCAGUGAAAGAUCAAUACCUGAGGCCAUGCCCACCAUUAUGGUUUGUGUCUAGGUGUCCCCCCAAAGCCUUAUGGAGUCAUAGGACUUUUUCAGAGGUGGCUGUUCAAUGCUGGGAAUACGGGUGCUGGCAUUAAAGAUGGGUGAUGGCUGGGUCACUCCACUGAUUAGAUUGGCACUGCCCUAAUCCUGGUAGACUGGAGACAAUAUAAGAGACAGGGAAGCCAGUCUCUUAUUGCUUUUGCUGUCUUUCAUCACCAUGUACAGUUGCCCCUCUGUCAUGUGCCACCCUGCCUUGGACUCAGUUGAUGGAUUGAACUCCACAAGCUGUGAGCUAAAUAAACCUUUUCUCUCUUUA